GACGAACGCUGGCGGCGUGCUUAACACAUGCAAGUCGAACGGAAAGGCCCUGCUUUUGUGGGGUGCUCGAGUGGCGAACGGGUGAGUAACACGUGAGUAACCUGCCCUUGACUUUGGGAUAACUUCAGGAAACUGGGGCUAAUACCGGAUAGGAGCUCCUGCUGCAUGGUGGGGGUUGGAAAGUUUCGGCGGUUGGGGAUGGACUCGCGGCUUAUCAGCUUGUUGGUGGGGUAGUGGCUUACCAAGGCUUUGACGGGUAGCCGGCCUGAGAGGGUGACCGGCCACAUUGGGACUGAGAUACGGCACAGGCUCCUACGGGAGGCAGCAGUGGGGAAUAUUGCACAAUGGGCGGAAGCCUGAUGCAGCAACGCCGCGUGCGGGAUGACGGCCUUCGGGUUGUAAACCGCUUUCGCCUGUGACGAAGCGUGAGUGACGGUAAUGGGUAAAGAAGCACCGGCUAACUACGUG
rnacentral:rRNA from 1 species